rnacentral:rRNA from 1 species
UCCUACGGGGGGCAGCAGUGAGGAAUAUUGGUCAAUGGGCGGAAGCCUGAACCAGCCAAGUCGCGUGAGGGAUUAAGGCCCUAUGGGUCGUAAACCUCUUUUGUCAGGGAGCAAUGGCGUCCACGUGUGGGCGUAUGGAGAGUACCUGAAGAAAAAGCAUCGGCUAACUCCGUGCCAGCAGCCGCGGUAAUACGGAGGAUGCGAGCGUUAUCCGGAUUUAUUGGGUUUAAAGGGUGCGCAGGCGGUCUGUUAAGUCAGCGGUCAAAGCCCGGGGCUCAACCCCGGCCCGCCGUUGAAACUGGCAG